rnacentral:lncRNA from 1 species
ACCCGCCAUAGCCCAUAACCUAAACGGGACGGGUCAUUUAAUCCACUUUUAAAUAAGUUGCUAAAACAUAAAUUCAACCCAUCCCAUUUACAUAGCGGGGCACGUCAAUCCGACGGGCCCAAUCCAAAUUUACAGCUCUAAAUCUAAUUUAGCAUGCAUAGAGACUAUAUCUCAUACCUAGAAAUCAUUAUAUAUACAUGAUCAAGAU